rnacentral:rRNA from 1 species
UGGCUCAGGACGAACGCUGGCGGCGUGCCUAACACAUGCUAGUCGAACGGAGUAAAGCCCUUCGGGACUUUACUUAGUGGCGAACGGGUGAGUAACGCGUGAGGAACCUGCCUUUCAGUGGGGGACAACAGUUGGAAACGACUGCUAAUACCGCAUGACGCUUCUUGGGGGCAUCCCUGAGAAGUCAAAGAUUUAUUGCUGAAAGAUGGCCUCGCGUCUGAUUAGCUAGUUGGCGGGGUAACGGCCCACCAAGGCGACGAUCAGUAGCCGGUCUGAGAGGAUGAACGGCCACAUUGGGACUGAGAUACGGCCCAGACUCCUACGGGAGGCAGCAGUGGGGAAUAUUGGGCAAUGGGGGAAACCCUGACCCAGCAACGCCGCGUGAAGGAAGAAGGCCUUCGGGUUGUAAACUUCUUUUAGCAGGGACGAAGGACGUGACGGUACCUGCAGAAAAAGCAACGGCUAACUACGUGCCAGCAGCCGCGGUAAUACGUAGGUUGCAAGCGUUGUCCGGAAUUACUGGGUGUAAAGGGCGUGUAGGCGGAGCUGCAAGUCAGAUGUGAAAUCCCGGGGCUCAACCCCGGAACUGCAUUUGAAACUGUAGCCCUUGAGUAUCGGAGAGGCAAGCGGAAUUCCUAGUGUAGCGGUGAAAUGCGUAGAUAUUAGGAGGAACACCAGUGGUGAAGGCGGCUUGCUGGACGACAACUGACGCUGAGGCGCGAAAGCGUGGGGAGCAAACAGGAUUAGAUACCCUGGUAGUCCACGCUGUAAACGAUGAAUACUAGGUGUGGGAGGACUGACCCCUUCCGUGCCGCAGUUAACACAAUAAGUAUUCCACCUGGGGAGUACGACCAAAGGGUUGCAACUCAAAGGAAUUGACGG